rnacentral:rRNA from 1 species
AGUGGGUGUAACGUACCUACUAGCCUACGACGGGUACGGGUUGUGAGAGCAAGAGCCCGGAGAUGGAUUCUGAGACACGAAUCCAGGCCCUACGGGGUGCAGCAGGCGCGAAAACUUUACAAUGCGGGAAACCGUGAUAAGGGAAUCUCGAGUGCCAGCAUAUAAUGUCGGCUGUCCAGAUGCCUAAAAAGCAUCUGUUAGCAAGGGCCGGGCAAGACCGGUGCCAGCCGCCGCGGUAACACCGGCGGCUCGAGUGGUAACCGUUAUUAUUGGGUCUAAAGGGUCUGUAGCCGGCCGGAUAAGUCUCUUGAGAAAUCUGGCAGCUUAACUGUCAGGCUUUCAGGAGAUACUGUCUGGCUCGAGGCCGGGAGAGGUGAGGGGUACUUCAGGGGUAGGGGUGAAAUCUUGUAAUCCUUGAAGGACCACCAGUGGCGAAGGCGUCUCACCAGAACGGACCUGACGGCAAGGGACGAAAGCUAGGGGCACGAACCGGAUUAGAU